UACGGGGGGGGCAAGCGUUGUUCGGAAUUACUGGGCGUAAAGGGCUCGUAGGCGGCCAACUAAGUCAGACGUGAAAUCCCUCGGCUUAACCGGGGAACUGCGUCUGAUACUGGAUGGCUAGAGGUUGGGAGAGGGAUGCGGAAUUCCAGGUGUAGCGGUGAAAUGCGUAGAUAUCUGGAGGAACACCGAUGGCGAAGGCAGGUCUCUGGGCAUUAACUGACGCUGAGGAGCGAAAGCAUGGGGAGCGAACAGG
rnacentral:rRNA from 1 species